GUUAUAGGUUAUAAUAUUGAAAGAAAUUCCUUUAUUCUUGGCAAAAUUACAGAGAUCUAAUGCCCUGUCAAUAUGUCCUCCUUUGCAAAGGCCGUCAAUAACAAUUGAGUAGUCAACCACAUCCAAGAGUGGUAGCUUAUCUCCCGCUCCCAUAACAAGGUCAAAAGCAUCCAGAUAUCGGCCACCUUUUGUCAGUGUCCUCAAA
rnacentral:misc_RNA from 1 species